rnacentral:rRNA from 2 species
AAAUUGAAGAGUUUGAUCAUGGCUCAGAUUGAACGCUGGCGGCAGGCCUAACACAUGCAAGUCGAACGGUAACAGGAAGCAGCUUGCUGCUUUGCUGACGAGUGGCGGACGGGUGAGUAAUGUCUGGGAAACUGCCUGAUGGAGGGGGAUAACUACUGGAAACGGUGGCUAAUACCGCAUAACGUCGCAAGACCAAAGAGGGGGACCUUCGGGCCUCUUGCCAUCAGAUGUGCCCAGAUGGGAUUAGCUGGUUGGUGAGGUAACGGCUCACCAAGGCGACGAUCCCUAGCUGGUCUGAGAGGAUGACCAGCCACACUGGAACUGAGACACGGUCCAGACUCCUACGGGAGGCAGCAGUGGGGAAUAUUGCACAAUGGGCGCAAGCCUGAUGCAGCCAUGCCGCGUGUAUGAAGAAGGCCUUCGGGUUGUAAAGUACUUUCAGCGGGGAGGAAGGU